AGAACAAUGCGGGAGUUGCAGAGAGAGGUGUCCUGUGUUUGUUCCCAGUCUUCCUUCACUCACCUGCACCUGCUCCUGCCCUGCUUCGGCCAACAUGUUCUAUGCAGCUGCUCACUGAUGUCACUUAGAGGAAGGCAGGGGCACAAGAUGGGAGGACCCAGAGCUCCGGGUUCUUAAGAAAUCUUCUCCAAGGGCAACUCUGAGUGGUGAAGACAGGAUGGAGUCAGUUGACUCUAGACCUUGUCCCAGUCUACUACUUUCUACUAUGACCUCCAGCAGGGCUGGGAGCUACACAGGCCAGGGACUUUGUUUUCUUCCCCGUCUUUCCUCAGGGCCCAUCACAGAAAUGCCUUUAGGCCCUCUUCACCACCUCACAUCUGCAUCUCAACUCCAGGCAGCAGAGUUCAUAUCAAGGGCCCAUGUUUUAACUGAAUAUAAUGAAUUUUUUUUUUCACCUUGGAAGAGUCUUAGAGGCAAGAUUAGAAUGUUCAUCUAAAAGGAGUGCAAAUUUCUUCAACCAUUCCCACGGAGGAAGGUCUACUCUGUGAAAAGGAAAUGAUCAUACAUAAUUCAUGCAUUUGCUGUACGGAUUUAAUUAAAUGAUAGACAAAAAGUAGAGUGGCACAAGUCAAACUCAAAAAAUAGUAACAACAAAAUCAAUUUCAAAAUAAGCAACAGCAAUAAAUGUUACCUACUAUUUUACGAAUGAAAAUACUGAGACCAAUAAAGGCAUUAUAGUAUACAUAGCCUUGGAAUCAGAAGACCAAGAACAUACAAGAGAACAUAGCCUUGGAAUCAGAAGACCAAGAAACAAUUUAACUCUGCCCCUCUAGAGCUCUGAGAACUUGGGCAAGCCUUUUACCCUCUGUGAGUUUCAGUUUCCUCAUUUAUUUAAUUGAAAUAAUAAUACAGAUCACCUGAAAUGUAAUGAAAAUUAAACAUCCUUAUGUAGGUGAAACCAACUGGCAGCAUGCCUGGAAUAUAGUGAGUGCUCAUUCGGUCUCUUGUAUUUUCUUUCUAUACCCUACUUCUGUUCCCUUGGAUUCAUAUACCUGAAUUGGAAACACCCAAAGUCAAAAAGAAUAAGAAAAAUCUUUAGAAAUGUAGCAUAUUACCAAGAUCUGCAAAUUUCUGCCCAGAGCAGAUGGUUCUAAUAAAGAAAGUCGGAUCUUAUGUUGAGUUCUUUUCUGUCCAAGAAUAGAAGACCUUCCCUCUUCUCCAGUAGUGAAGAAUAGGAUUCAUCAGCCUUGGGGGCAAAGUUAAAAACUUGCUCUAGAAAGUGGCCUGGAUAGUCAGAAACUGCUUAGACUCACUCCAUCUGUUCUAUACACAUACACACACCUUUGUUUGUCAGUAAAAUAUUCAAUGAGACUUGAUAGUCCAAUCCUUUGAAACCAGAAUAAUAUUUGAAAUUUUGAUGAUUUUAUCUAACUGCUAAUAUCACUUGCAGGUCAUCAGUGUUUUACAUCCAACAAACUAAUGGUCAUUUGCUGCUUUAUAAAGAGCCGAUAUAAUUUUGUCUUCCUUGUUAUUAAAGGAUCAAGCAAGGGUGUUUCUGUACCAGUUCAACUUUCCUUAUUUGCUUAUUAGUCAGUAAUAUUCAAGAAAAUCCUAGUUUUAAAAAAUGUCAUUACAUGUUAAACUGUGGAAAGAGUCACCAUCAUUUGAAUAAAUCUUGAGUAAGCCC
ensembl:lncRNA JUN-DT JUN divergent transcript